rnacentral:rRNA from 1 species
UACGGAGGGUGCAAGCGUUAUUCGGAAUUACUGGGCGUAAAGCGCGUGCAGGCGGGUGAGGCGGGUCUGAUGUGAAAGCCCGGGGCUUAACCCCGGAAGUGCAUUGGAAACUGCCCAUCUUGAGUUCCGGAGAGGAAGGGGGAAUUCCCGGUGUAGAGGUGAAAUUCGUAGAGAUCGGGAGGAAUACCAGUGGCGAAGGCGCCCUUCUGGACGGCAACUGACGCUGAGACGCGAAAGCGUGGGGAGCAAA